ensembl:lncRNA
UGCCCCUUCUUCAUGCUCUUUGACCGCUGGGCCGGGGAAACAACCCCCACCCCCCCCCCCCCUACCCUCGAGCUGCGUUCCAGCAGCGACGAGCUCCGGGUCCCCGAUGGCUUGUGUCCUUAUGACGGCGGAGGCAAAAUGAAAUAUCGAUCAGCCCUGCGGGGAGCACAUACGGGAGGUGGUGCUCAAACUGUUGGUUUAAUCAACUGUUCAACAACAGGUCACAUGUCGGGGUUAGCGACAGAGCGAUGGAAGCCCUGAGUAUCCGUCCUCCCCCGUGCUCCACAUUAGCUGCAUGCAGGCUACUUAUCAAUAUCACCAAUAAUAUUCGUUGUGCCAAAAUAAUAAUCAGCCGUGGAUCACCUGAUUCCACGGGAAUCACAUAAACCAGACGAAAAGUACUAAAGCGGCAAUAGACAAUAUAUUUGCUGUGACAUAUGAUUAUGAUGCGAAUGCGGUUUGCACAAAGUAAUGGCGGUGGAAUAACGACGCCAUCUGCGUUUCCCUGUGAGCCUCAUUUCUGUGUUCAGGAGAACGUGAAGGCUCGACUGACGGCUCAAACAAUGAGCUUCAUCCAUUUGUCACACCGACGGUCUGGGUGCGUUUCCAUUUCUUCCCCCAGUAACAGAGAUGAGAUGGUGGAACAGAACCUCAGCGUUGAAAAGCUGAGCUCUGUUCACCUUGAGAAAGCAUCCAAGGGCCCGGAAACCCAAGUGUGGCCCUCUGACAAGCAGCUGGCGUGAAUAACGCGGCCCAUGACGGACUGUGAAGUACAGUAACGGUGUUCUUGCUCAUUCUUAGGAUAUUGGGUUUUUGGUCACCUG